rfam:Myotis lucifugus cont2.21944, whole genome shotgun sequence.
GGCCUCCCUCUGUGGGGAGAUCGAUCGUGGAGCCCCCACAUUGAUCUCCCUGCAGAGGGUGGCC